rnacentral:lncRNA from 1 species
UCAAGUACUAUCUUGUUGUCUGAAAUAAAUUUAGUAAAAAAGCAUUCUUUUGUAAAAUAUUAAACUUGAAUAAAAGUAAAGUCUAUUAGGGAUGAAUAACUCUAAUUAAUACUCCAAUAUUAAAUCAAAAAACGAAACACGGGAAAAAUGAACGUAUAAUUUUUUAACAAUCUAUAAACAUGCUCCUGAAGACUGGAAAUCCGAAAGAAAAAANAAACAUCAAUAUGUAAGAUUGAGACUACUGAAAAAAAAAAAUGAAACCUAAAAACACUACUGGAAUAAACUGGGUGGAAGACUGCGACUCAUAUACCCGAGCCCAGAUAAGUACAUGGGCUUUGGAUUUAGAACAAAAUACUAACUGGGCCUAGUAGUUUCGGGGCCUGGUCCGCAGAUAUUGCACUCGAAAUCUAGUGUAAUUGAUUUUGGGCAAUUUUAAACAUAGCCCCAAAUCUCACCCUUUAGCCCCCUGAUUAAAUUAAUAAUAAAUUAAAUAAUAAAAG